UACGAAGGGGGCUAGCGUUGCUCGGAAUCACUGGGCGUAAAGCGCACGUAGGCGGAUCUUUAAGUCAGGGGUGAAAUCCCAAGGCUCAACCUUGGAACUGCCUUUGAUACUGGAGACCUUGAGUCCGGGAGAGGUGAGUGGAAUUGCGAGUGUAGAGGUGAAAUUCGUAGAUAUUCGCAAGAACACCAGUGGCGAAGGCGGCUCACUGGCCCGGAACUGACGCUGAGACGCGAAAGCGUGGGGAGCAAACAGG
rnacentral:rRNA from 1 species